UAGGGAAUCUUCCGCAAUGGGCGAAAGCCUGACGGAGCAACGCCGCGUGAGUGAUGAAGGUCUUCGGAUCGUAAAACUCUGUUAUUAGGGAAGAACAAAUGUGUAAGUAACUAUGCACGUCUUGACCGUACCUAAUCAGAAAGCCACGGCUAACUACGUGCCAGCAGCCGCGGUAAUACGUAGGUGGCAAGCGUUAUCCGGAAUUAUUGGGCGUAAAGCGCGCGUAGGCGGUUUUUUAAGUCUGAUGUGAAAGCCCACGGCUCAACCGUGGAGGGUCAUUGGAAACUGGAAAACUUGAGUGCAGAAGAGGAAAGUGGAAUUCCAUGUGUAGCGGUGAAAUGCGCAGAGAUAUGGAGGAACACCAGUGGCGAAGGCGACUUUCUGGUCUGUAACUGACGCUGAUGUGCGAAAGCGUGGGGAUCAAACAGG
rnacentral:rRNA from 1 species